rnacentral:rRNA from 1 species
UUUAAAUGUAAAAUAAAUAUACUAAAGUAGUAUUAGUUAUGUUCUUGAAAUUUAAAGAUUUUGGCGGUAUUUUAGUCUAUUUAGAGGAGCCUGUUCUAUGAUUGAUAAUCCACGAUUAAUUUUACUUAAUUUAUAUAAAUUUGUAUACCGUCGUUAUAAGAAGAUUUUAAAAGAAUAUAAAUUUUUAAUAUUUUAUAUAAAAAAAUAUAUCAGAUCAGGGUGCAGUUUAUAGUUAAGAAGAAAUGGGCUACAAUAAAUUUAUUUAUAUGGAUUAAAGUAAGAAUUUGACUUUAUGAAAGUGGAUUUAAUAGUAAUAAAAUUAAUUUAAAUUUUAUGAUUUUAGCUCUAAAAUAUGU